rnacentral:rRNA from 1 species
UACAGAGGUCCCAAGCGUUGUUCGGAUUCACUGGGCGUAAAGGGUGCGUAGGUGGCUGGGAAAGUUUGAUGUGAAAGCUCGGAGCUUAACUCCGAAAUGGCAUUGAAUACUUCCUAGCUUGAGGGUCGGAGGGGAGACUGGAAUUCUCGGUGUAGCAGUGAAAUGCGUAGAUAUCGAGAGGAACACCAGUGGCGAAGGCGAGUCUCUGGGCCUGUACUGACGCUGAGGAGCGAAAGCGUGGGGAGCGAACAGG